rnacentral:tRNA from 1 species
CAGAUAUUAGUUUAUUUAAAAAUUUUAAUUUUGGAGAUUAAAGAGGGAAGUUAUUCUAUAUCUGA